UAACCGCGCCCCGAGUGGUAGUCACGUUUAUUGGGCCUAAAGCGUCCGUAGCCGGUUUGGUAAGUCUCUGGUGAAAUCCACUAGUAGACUAGUGUGAAUUGCUGGAGAUACUACCAGGCUUGAGACCGGGAGAGGUUGAGGGUAUUCCACGGGUAAGAGUAAAAUCUUUUAAUCCGUGGAGGACCACCUGUGGCGAAGGCGCUCAACUGGAACGGGUCUGACGGUGAGGGACGAAAGCGUGGGGA
rnacentral:rRNA from 1 species